rnacentral:rRNA from 1 species
UUUGGUUAAGUUAGAAAGGGCGCACGGUGGAUGCCUUGACACUAGGAGUCGAUGAAGGACGGGACUAACGCCGAUAUGCUUCGGGGAGCUGUAAGUAAGCUUUGAUCCGAAGAUUUCCGAAUGGGGAAACCCACCAUACGUAAUGGUAUGGUAUCCUUAUCUGAAUACAUAGGGUAAGGAAGACAGACCCAGGGAACUGAAACAUCUAAGUACCUGGAGGAAGAGAAAGCAAAUGCGAUUUCCUGAGUAGCGGCGAGCGAAACGGAACAUAGCCCAAACCAAGAGGCUUGCCUCUUGGGGUUGUAGGACAUUCUAUACGGAGUUACAAAGGAACGAGGUAGACGAAGCGACCUGGAAAGGUCCGUCGUAGAGGGUAACAACCCCGUAGUCGAAACUUCGUUCUCUCUUGAAUGUAUCCUGAGUACGGCGGAACACGUGAAAUUCCGUCGGAAUCUGGGAGGACCAUCUCCCAAGGCUAAAUACUCCCUAGUGAUCGAUAGUGAACCAGUACCGUGAGGGAAAGGUGAAAAGCACCCCGGAAGGGGAGUGAAAGAGAUCCUGAAACCGUGUGCCUACAAAUAGUCAGAGCCCGUUAACGGGUGAUGGCGUGCCUUUUGUAGAAUGAACCGGCGAGUUACGAUCCCGUGCGAGGUUAAGCUGAAGAGGCGGAGCCGCAGCGAAAGCGAGUCUGAAUAGGGCGUUUAGUACGUGGUCGUAGACCCGAAACCAGGUGAUCUACCCAUGUCCAGGGUGAAGUUCAGGUAACACUGAAUGGAGGCCCGAACCCACGCACGUUGAAAAGUGCGGGGAUGAGGUGUGGGUAGCGGAGAAAUUCCAAUCGAACCUGGAGAUAGCUGGUUCUCCCCGAAAUAGCUUUAGGGCUAGCCUUAAGUGUAAGAGUCUUGGAGGUAGAGCACUGAUUGGACUAGGGGUCCUCAUCGGAUUACCGAAUUCAGUCAAACUCCGAAUGCCAAUGACUUAUCCUUAGGAGUCAGACUGCGAGUGAUAAGAUCCGUAGUCAAAAGGGAAACAGCCCAGACCGCCAGCUAAGGUCCCAAAGUGUGUAUUAAGUGGAAAAGGAUGUGGAGUUGCUUAGACAACUAGGAUGUUGGCUUAGAAGCAGCCACCAUUUAAAGAGUGCGUAAUAGCUCACUAGUCGAGUGACUCUGCGCCGAAAAUGUACCGGGGCUAAAUACACCACCGAAGCUGCGGAUUGAUACCAAUGGUAUCAGUGGUAGGGGAGCGUUCUAAGGACAGUGAAGUCAGACCGUAAGGACUGGUGGAGUGCUUAGAAGUGAGAAUGCCGGUAUGAGUAGCGAAAGACGGGUGAGAAUCCCGUCCACCGAAUGCCUAAGGUUUCCUGAGGAAGGCUCGUCCGCUCAGGGUUAGUCAGGACCUAAGCCGAGGCCGACAGGCGUAGGCGAUGGACAACAGGUUGAUAUUCCUGUACCACCUCUUUAUCGUUUGAGCAAUGGAGGGACGCAGAAGGAUAGAAGAAGCGUGCGAUUGGUUGUGCACGUCCAAGCAGUUAGGCUGAUAAGUAGGCAAAUCCGCUUAUCAUAAAGGCUGAGCUGUGAUGGGGAAGCUCCUUAUGGAGCGAAGUCUUUGAUUCCCCGCUGCCAAGAAAAGCUUCUAGCGAGAUAAAAGGUGCCUGUACCGCAAACCGACACAGGUAGGCGAGGAGAGAAUCCUAAGGUGUGCGAGAGAACUCUGGUUAAGGAACUCGGCAAAAUGACCCCGUAACUUCGGGAGAAGGGGUGCUUUCUUAACGGAAAGCCGCAGUGAAUAGGCCCAAGCGACUGUUUAGCAAAAACACAGCUCUCUGCGAAGCCGUAAGGCGAAGUAUAGGGGGUGACACCUGCCCGGUGCUGGAAGGUUAAGGAGAGGGGUUAGCGUAAGCGAAGCUCUGAACUGAAGCCCCAGUAAACGGCGGCCGUAACUAUAACGGUCCUAAGGUAGCGAAAUUCCUUGUCGGGUAAGUUCCGACCCGCACGAAAGGUGUAACGAUUUGGGCACUGUCUCAACCAGAGACUCGGUGAAAUUAUAGUACCUGUGAAGAUGCAGGUUACCCGCGACAGGACGGAAAGACCCCGUGGAGCUUUACUGUAGCCUGAUAUUGAAUUUUGGUACAGUUUGUACAGGAUAGGCGGGAGCCAUUGAAACCGGAGCGCUAGCUUCGGUGGAGGCGCUGGUGGGAUACCGCCCUGACUGUAUUGAAAUUCUAACCUACGGGUCUUAUCGACCCGGGAGACAGUGUCAGGUGGGCAGUUUGACUGGGGCGGUCGCCUCCUAAAGUGUAACGGAGGCGCCCAAAGGUUCCCUCAGAAUGGUUGGAAAUCAUUCGUAGAGUGCAAAGGCAUAAGGGAGCUUGACUGCGAGACCUACAAGUCGAGCAGGGACGAAAGUCGGGCUUAGUGAUCCGGUGGUUCCGCAUGGAAGGGCCAUCGCUCAACGGAUAAAAGCUACCCCGGGGAUAACAGGCUUAUCUCCCCCAAGAGUCCACAUCGACGGGGAGGUUUGGCACCUCGAUGUCGGCUCAUCGCAUCCUGGGGCUGUAGUCGGUCCCAAGGGUUGGGCUGUUCGCCCAUUAAAGCGGUACGCGAGCUGGGUUCAGAACGUCGUGAGACAGUUCGGUCCCUAUCCGUCGUGGGCGUAGGAAAUUUGAGAGGAGCUGUCCUUAGUACGAGAGGACCGGGAUGGACGCACCGCUGGUGUACCAGUUGUUCUGCCAAGGGCAUAGCUGGGUAGCUAUGUGCGGAAGGGAUAAGUGCUGAAAGCAUCUAAGCAUGAAGCCCCCCUCAAGAUGAGAUUUCCCAUAGCGUAAGCUAGUAAGAUCCCUGAAAGAUGAUCAGGUUGAUAGGUUCGAGGUGGAAGCAUGGUGACAUGUGGAGCUGACGAAUACUAAUAGAUCGAGGACUUAACCAUGUAA